rnacentral:rRNA from 1 species
UUGCAGGCUGCAACCCGCCUGCAUGAAGUCGGAAUUGCUAGUAAUCGUAGGUCAGCAUACUACGGUGAAUACGUUCCCGGGCCUCGUACACACCGCCCGUCAAACCAUGAGAGUUGGCAACACCCGAAGUCGGUAGUCUAACCGCAAGGAGGACGCCGCCGAAGGUGGGGUUGAUGAUUAGGGUUAAGUCGUAACAAGGUACC